AAAAAAAAAAAAAAAAACCCACCAACACUCUCCUUCUUCUUCCUCAAACGGCAAAACCUCCCCAAUUUUUUCUUCUUCUUUCCUCCCAAACCCACAAAUGUCGUUUCCCUCACUGCCCAGUAUUCGCUGUCGUGUCUCCCUCGCUACCAUUCCGAAUGACGUGCGCCUCCCUCACCCCCAUUCAGAUUCGAACGUCGUGCUUCCUUCACUGUCUCAUCAGACUCGCCGCCGCGUGAGAGAGAUUCCUCAUAAAUCGCAGCACCUCAUCAGCUCAGAUCUGUCUAGCUGUCGUUCCCUCGCACCUCACCGACUCAGAUUCGACCAGCUACCGCUUCUUCACACUUCGCCAGACCCAAAACCGUCGCCGUCGGACCUGUUCUAGGUGAGUUUUAGUGAAACUUGGAAUUUAGAGGGAGCACCGUUAAGGGAAAUUGGAAGUGACCUUCAUCCUUUGGGUAAGUUUUUGAAUAUUUUGGACUUGGGUCUGAAGUGUUGCUGUUAUGGUUGAACUAAAAUUGUUUGAGUUCAGUGUUAGGGCCGCUACUUCUAGUUGUUAUAGUUUGGCCGUUGGAGCUUCAUUAUCCAUAAAGUUUCGAUUGAGGAAAAGGUAAAGAUAUACCGGUGAUGGCGCAACGAAAUUCGUGAUCGUGUCACUGGGACUAGACCUUUUCACUUCCGCAUCUUGAAAUUUGUUAUUUGGUUUUACUGUUUAAAAUUUAUUACUAAGGAUUAUUUCUUUUAUAUGCCUUUGAUUAGCCUUUAAAAAUUUUGGGUACCCUAUUAACUGUUUUAACAAUUGCAUUUAAUAAACGCCUUAUGAACUUCUCUUGU